AUACGUAGGUGGCAAGCGUUAAUCGGAAUUACUGGGCGUAAAGCGUGCGCAGGCGGUUUUGUAAGACAGAGGUGAAAUCCCCGGGCUCAACCUGGGAACUGCCUUUGGGACUGCAAGGCUAGAGUACGGCAGAGGGGGAUGGAAUUCCGCGUGGAGCAGUGAAAGGCGUAGAUAUGCGGAGGAACACCGAUGGCGAAGGCAAUCCCCUGGGCCUGUACUGACGCUCAUGCACGAAAGCGUGGGGAGCAAACAGGAUUAGAUACCCUGGUAGUCCACGCCCUAAACGAUGUCAACUGGUUGUUGGGUCUUCAUUGACUCAGUAACGAAGCUAACGCGUGAAGUUGACCGCCUGGGGAGUACGGCCGCAAGGUUGAAACUCAAAUGAAUUGACGGGG
rnacentral:rRNA from 1 species